rnacentral:ncRNA from 12 species
GAAAUCAGCCCGAAAAGUGUCCGUUCUGGACGCCUGCUCGAAAGAGAUAGGGCUGGUUUCAUUU